CCAAUAGCGUAUAUUAAAGUUGUUGCAGUUAAAAAGCUCGUAGUUGAAUUUCGGGAUUGACCCAUCGGUCGUGCCUUAAGGGGUAUGAACUGGUGUAGUCAAUUUCUCACCUUCUGGAGAACCGCGAUGUCCUUAAUUGGGUGCCGCGAGGAACCAGGACCUUUACUUUGAAAAAAUUAGAGUGUUUAAAGCAGGCAUUUUUGCUUGAAUACAUUAGCAUGGAAUAAUAAAAUAGGACGGCAUGAUUCUAUUUUGUUGGUUUCUAGGAUCACCGUAAUGAUUAAUAGGGAUAGUUGGGGGCAUUAGUAUUCAAUUGUCAGAGGUGAAAUUCUUGGAUUUAUUGAAGACUAACUACUGCGAAAGCAUUUGCCAAGGAUGUUUUCAUUAAUCAAGAACGAAAGUUAGGGGAUCGAAGACGAUCAGAUACCGUCGUAGUCUUAACCAUAAACUAUGCCGACUAGGAAUCAGACGAUGUUAAUUUUUUAAUGACUCGUUUGGCACCUUACG
rnacentral:rRNA from 1 species